GUACACACCGCCCGUCACACCAUGGGAAUUGGGUUUACCCGACGGCCGUGCGCYAACCUGGCAACAGGARGCAGCGGACCACGGUAGGCUCAGUGACUGGGGUGAAGUCGUAACAAGGUAGYYGUAGGUGAACCUGCAGAAGGAUCA
rnacentral:rRNA from 1 species